GAGGGGGUACGAACACUGAUCUGCUAAGUCAGCGCCCCGAGCCCAACCGCUCGGCC
rnacentral:tRNA from 1 species